GACGAACGCUGGCGGCGUGCUUAACACAUGCAAGUCGAACGGUAAGGCCCUUCGGGGUACACGAGUGGCGAACGGGUGAGUAACACGUGGGUGAUCUGCCCUGCACUUCGGGAUAAGCCUGGGAAACUGGGUCUAAUACCGGAUAGGACCACUGCCUGCAUGGGUGGUGGUGGAAAGCUUUUGCGGUGUGGGAUGGGCCCGCGGCCUAUCAGCUUGUUGGUGGGGUGAUGGCCUACCAAGGCGACGACGGGUAGCCGGCCUGAGAGGGUGAACGGCCACACUGGGACUGAGAUACGGCCCAGACUCCUGCGGGAGGCAGCAGUGGGGAAUAUUGCACAAUGGGCGCAAGCCUGAUGCAGCGACGCCGCGUGAGGGAUGACGGCCUUCGGGUUGUAAACCUCUUUCAGCACCGACGAAGCGCAAGUGACGUUACCGACAGAAUAAGCACCGGCUAACUUCGUGCCAGCAGCCGCAGUAA
rnacentral:rRNA from 1 species